rnacentral:rRNA from 1 species
UUAAAUUGAAGAGUUUGAUCAUGGCUCAGAUUGAACGCUGGCGGCAGGCCUAACACAUGCAAGUCGAACGGUAACAGGAAGCAGCUUGCUGCUUCGCUGACGAGUGGCGGACGGGUGAGUAAUGUCUGGGAAACUGCCUGAUGGAGGGGGAUAACUACUGGAAACGGUAGCUAAUACCGCAUAAUGUCGCAAGACCAAAGAGGGGGACCCUCGGGCCUCUUGCCAUCGGAUGUGCCCAGAUGGGAUUAGCUUGUUGGUGGGGUAACGGCUCACCAAGGCGACGAUCCCUAGCUGGUCUGAGAGGAUGACCAGCCACACUGGAACUGAGACACGGUCCAGACUCCUACGGGAGGCAGCAGUGGGGAAUAUUGCACAAUGGGCGCAAGCCUGAUGCAGCCAUGCCGCGUGUAUGAAGAAGGCCUUCGGGUUGUAAAGUACUUUCAGCGGGGAGGAAGGGAGUAAAGUUAAUACCUU